ensembl:lncRNA
GGGGAGGUAGAGGGUUAGAGGGUUAGAGGGAGGAAGAGGGGUUAGGGGAGGUAGAGGGUUAGGGGGAGGUAGAGGGUUAGGAGGAGGUAGAGGUAUUAGGCAGAGGUAGAUAGAGGGAGGUAGAGAGUUAGAGGGAGGUAGAGAGUAAGAGGGAGGAAGAGGUUUAGGAGGAGGUAGAGGGUUAGAGGGAGGUAGAGGGUUAGAGGGAGGUAGAGAGUAAGAGGGUUAGAGGGAGGUAGAGAGUAAGAGGGUUAGAGGGAGGUAGAGAGUAAGAGGGUUAGAGGGAGGUAGAGGGUUAGAGGGAGGUAGAGGGUUAGAGGGAGGUAGAGAGUAAGAGGGUUAGAGGGAGGUAG